UACCAGCACCCCGAGUGGUCGGGACGAUUAUUGGGCCUAAAGCAUCCGUAGCCGGUCUUGCAAGUCUUCCGUUAAAUCCAGCUGCUUAACAGAUGGGCUGCGGAAGAUACUACAAGACUAGGAGGUGGGAGAGGCAAGCGGUACUCAGUGGGUAGGGGUAAAAUCCUCUGAUCCAUUGAAGACCACCAGUGGCGAAGGCGGCUUGCCAGAACGCGCUCGACGGUGAGGGAUGAAAGCUGGGGGAGCAAACGGG
rnacentral:rRNA from 1 species